rnacentral:rRNA from 1 species
UACGUAAGGGGCGAGCGUUGUCCGGAUUCAUUGGGCGUAAAGAGCUCGUAGGCGGCUUGGCAAGUCGGAUGUGAAAACUCCAGGCUCAACCUGGAGCCGCCAUUCGAUACUGCUAUGGCUAGAGUCCGGUAGGGGAGUGUGGAAUUCCCGGUGUAGCGGUGAAAUGCGCAGAUAUCAGGAAGAACACCCGUGGCUAAGGCGGCUCUCUAGUACGGUACUGACGCUGAGACGCGAAAGCGUGGGGAGCGAACAGG